GAUGAACGCUGGCGGCGUGCUUAACACAUGCAAGUCGAACGUGAACCAGUAGCAAUAUUGGGGAAAGUGGCGGACGGGUGAGUAACACGUGGGUGACCUGCCUUGCAGCGGGGGAUAACGAGGGGAAACCUUCGCUAAUACCGCAUAGGCUUACACUGAUGGGAAUGGUGUGGGUAAAACUAGAGGUGCUGCAAGAGGGGCCUGCGUCCGAUUAGCUAGUUGGUGAGGUAAAGGCUCACCAAGGCGAUGAUCGGUAGCUGGUCUGAGAGGACGAUCAGCCACACGGGAACUGAGAGACGGUCCCGACUCCUACGGGGGGCAGCAGUGAGGAAUAUUGGGCAAUGGGCUAACGCCUGACCCAGCAACGCCGCGUGGAGGAUGAAGGUUUUGGAUUGUAAACUACCUUUUGUGGGGAAGAGUGAGGACGGUACCCCAAGAAUAAGUCACGGCUAACUACGUG
rnacentral:rRNA from 1 species